AUAUCUGAUUUUUGGAGAGGGAGCAUAAGUAAUCUAGCACUUUAGGGAGUUAACUAGAGAGAAAGUAGAAAAGAAGCUUUUCUCCUUUUCCAGGUAGAUGGUUUAAGAGUACAAUCAUGGAGUGAUUAAAUAAACCCUGGGUCUGAAGAAAAGAUAUGGUUGAUAGCCAAAAGAAAUAAAACCGGCUCCUUGAAGAAAAGGAACUGGAAACCUGUGGUGGGAGAAUGUUCUUUGAUGCAUGGAUUAGCGAGUUAAACUUCAUGGCUUCUGCUCAUCUAGUAACUAGGUGAUGUGUGUGGAAUCUGGUGGAUUCAACUCCCUGAGUCCUGCUAUUUAAUCUUGAGAAUGACAAACCAGCAGCUAAAAAAAAAUGAUGGUCCAGCCACAAGACUGCUUUGGUCUUCUAAGGAGCAUUUCUGGAAAGAAAUUGUAAAGCUGCCCUUCAUCAACCCUCUCCCUCUCCCUGGGAGCACUAAACCCAGUGACAAGGAUGUCCAAGACAACCAGAGACCUCCAUCCCUCUUCAGUCCUCAUCCACCUUCAAAGCUACAGAGA